CGCCGGCCGCCGCCGCCGCCGCGGGGCUCUCGGCUUACCCGGCCGCAGAGGGCGAGCAGGAGCACGAAGGCGCAGCGGACUGGGCCCAGGCCGGCGGCGGACAUGGUCGCAGCAUGAAGGGACAGACAGAGCCUGACUCCCUGCUAUGAAAAAGUGUUCCAGUAUCACCAGAUUGGAAAAACCAACCCAAGAGAACUUAAAACAUACUUGACAUGCUUGGAAACGUAGGAUAAACCACUUGGAAAGUGAUAAACCUUAAGAGAGAGUAUAAUAUUUGGCUUUACAACAGACACAUGAAAAAGUGCUCCAUAUCACUCGGCAUCA